rnacentral:rRNA from 1 species
GACAGAGGGUGCAAACGUUGCUCGGAACUACUGGGCGUAAAGCGCGUGUAGGCUGACCGGAAAGUCGGGCGUGAAAUCCCUGGGCUCAACCCAGGAACUGCACUCGAAACUCCCGGUCUUGAGUGGUGGAGAGGGAAGUGGAAUUCCUGGUGUAGAGGUGAAAUUCGUAGAUAUCAGGAGGAACACCAGUGGCGAAGGCGGCUUCCUGGACACCAACUGACGCUGAGACGCGAAAGCGUGGGGAGCAAACAGG